GAUGAACGCUGGCGGCGUGCCUAAUACAUGCAAGUCGAGCGAACAGACGAGGAGCUUGCUCCUCUGACGUUAGCGGCGGACGGGUGAGUAACACGUGGAUAACCUACCUAUAAGACUGGGAUAACUUCGGGAAACCGGAGCUAAUACCGGAUAAUAUAUUGAACCGCAUGGUUCAAUAGUGAAAGACGGUUUUGCUGUCACUUAUAGAUGGAUCCGCGCCGCAUUAGCUAGUUGGUAAGGUAACGGCUUACCAAGGCAACGAUGCGUAGCCGACCUGAGAGGGUGAUCGGCCACACUGGAACUGAGACACGGUCCAGACUCUUACGGGAGGCAGCAGUAGGGAAUCUUCCGCAAUGGGCGAAAGCCUGACGGAGCAACGCCGCGUGAGUGACGAAGGUCUUCGGAUCGUAAAACUCUGUUAUUAGGGAAGAACAAAUGUGUAAGUAACUAUGCACGUCUUGACGGUACCUAAUCAGAAAGCCACGGCUAACUACGUG
rnacentral:rRNA from 1 species